UACGGAGGGUCCGGGCGUUAUCCGGAUUUAUUGGGUUUAAAGGGAGCGCAGGCGGCCUUUUAAGCGUGUUGUGAAAACCAGUCGCUCAACGACGGACUUGCAGCGCGAACUGAAUGGCUUGAGUACGGACGAGGCAGGCGGAAUUCGUGGUGUAGCGGUGAAAUGCUUAGAUAUCACGAAGAACCCCGAUUGCGUAGGCAGCCUGCCAGGCCGUUACUGACGCUAAAGCUCGAAAGUGCGGGGAUCGAACAGG
rnacentral:rRNA from 1 species